rnacentral:misc_RNA from 1 species
UCCCGGUUAACCCGGGCAGUCUCGCUAGAGUGCUCAACUAAAUGGUAGCAACUAACAAUAAGGGUUGCGCUCGUUGCGGGACUUAACCCAACAUCUCACGACACAAGCUGACGACAACCAUGCACCACCUGUCUUCCUGCCACCGAAGUGGCUUCCUCUAUUACGAGUAAUUCAGGAGAUGUCAAGUCUAGGUAAGGUUCUUCGCGUUGCUUCGAAUUGAACCACAUGCUCCACCGCUUGUGCGGGCCCCCGUCAAUUCCUUUGAGUUUUAGCCUUGCGGCCGUACUCCCCAGGCGGAGUGCUUAACGCGUUAGCUACGACACCUCCGGGGUCAAUACCAGAAACAUCUAGCACUCAUCGUUUACGGCGUGGACUAC